rnacentral:rRNA from 1 species
UACGUAGGUGGCAAGCGUUGUCCGGAUUUACUGGGCGUAAAGAGCGCGCAGGCGGUCGUUCAAGUCGCGUGUGAAAGCCCCCGGCUCAACUGGGGAGGGUCACGCGAUACUGAUCGACUCGAAGGCAGGAGAGGGAAGUGGAAUUCCCGGUGUAGUGGUGAAAUGCGUAGAUAUCGAGAGGAACACCAGUGGCGAAGGCGAGUCCCUGGACAACACCUGACACUGAGGCACGAAAGCUAGGGGAGCAAACAGG